GGGGAUGUGUCUUAGCAGUAUAGCACUUGCCUUAGCAUGCAUGAGGCCCUGGGUUUGAUCCCCAGCACCACCG
rfam:Ictidomys tridecemlineatus contig072687, whole genome shotgun sequence.